rnacentral:rRNA from 1 species
GACAGCAGCCGCCGCGGUAAUACGUAGGUGGCAAGCGUUGUCCGGAAUUAUUGGGCGUAAAGCGCGCGCAGGCGGAUAGGUCAGUCUGUCUUAAAAGUUCGGGGCUUAACCCCGUGAUGGGAUGGAAACUGCCAAUCUAGAGUAUCGGAGAGGAAAGUGGAAUUCCUAGUGUAGCGGUGAAAUGCGUAGAUAUCAGGAAGAACACCAGUGGCGAAGGCGACUUUCUGGACGAAAACUGACGCUGAGGCGCGAAAGCCAGGGGAGCGAACGGGAUUAGAUACCCGUGUAGUCCCUGUCUCUUAUACA